CGGUACUCUUGUUUCGAAAUUUGCCAUUGGUCUUGCAAUUCUGCGCAUUCUGAUGUAAACCAUUGUUUUCUUUGCCCAAACAAAAAAAAAAAGCACCAUGUACCAAACGGUUGUAAUGCAUAGCUGAAGUUUGUCAACUUUCUUAUAGAUGGUGACUCAAAUGAGGUUUUUGCUGAAGGGCCAGCUCGGCCAACUGGGGGUGAUGCUGCUAUUGCAAUGUUGAUUGGACCAAAUUCUCCAAUUUCUUUAGAGAGUCUAUACGGGGGAACUCACAUGGCUCAUGUUUGUGACUUUUGCAAGCCAAACCUUGCAAGCGAAUACCUGGUGUUGUUGAUGGGAAAGUAUCACAAACAUGCUAUCUCAUGGGACUUUUGAUUUAUGCUACAAACGUUGCUGCAGCAAAUGAGUUCGAAUAUAUUAUAUUGUCUAUAUUCGGAGGAGGGUCUUCUUUUAAUCGGGAGCUUGAAAAGGCAUGCAUGUGUCCUUUUGCAUUUCUUUUAGUCCUCGUGGCCAUCGUCGUUAUUUCCUCUCAUGUAUGCUCAUUCUUACUCUCGUUAAACUGUUCGGGCUUCUCACCAUCUUGGUAUGAUGCAAAAGUCCAACCAUCAUCUACUUCGUUAAUAUGUACACAGCUUGUCUUUAUGCCACAUUUGCGUCUGUGAUUCAUAACAAACAUAGCACUCUGGGUGAUUUUGCUGUUUCCUUUCCU